AAUACUAAACUCUUAUCAGAAGUCAAACUCAAAACGAAUUGCUUGCGGCUGAUCGCCAUUCGCCAAUGCAAAGGAUUGGUUUUGCAUUUGCAGAGACAGGCGGAAACGACUUUCAUCAGAAACCAAACCAUCAACAUGCUACUGUGGAUUUGUUUUUGUUUUCAUUUGAGGUUAGGAUGUAUUGGGUUAGGUGUUUUUGCAAUCGUUGGUUUGGUUUUCCUAUUCCUAUUCUUAUUUUGGCUUUCCUUAAUGUUAAAGUACUUAAAGUCUGGUAUCGUACACUGAAUCUUGUCCCUCAGAAUGUCGCAGACUUAUUAGUGCCUGAAAUUUACCAUUGCCAAAGCUUCAGAACCAUCCCCAACUACUUCAAGUCUCUCCUCUCAUUUGUAACCACUUGCAACUAAGCGCAUUAGCCAGGCCACAUAAACCAGUCAAGUCAAAAUAUUCCGAAUUCAGGGCCUUCACUUAUGAUCAACGAUUCUGGAUCACAAACGGUCAAGAGAAAAAGAGGCAAAACUUCUUCUACAUUCUGUAUUCCUGUUUUGGAUACUUGUUUUAUUCAGGAGCUUUCAAGUGUAGUUGCUGUCAAUCUGCGGCUAGAUUCUAUCAGCUGGUCUAAAUUAUGCAAAAAAGACAAUCUCUUAUCAGACUGGGGUGUUGUCCAUUUACCCCAUGAUAUAAUUAAAAUGGAUCCUAUUAAACUUUUUGAUUUGCUGCAGAGUGUUUAUGAAAAACUUCCAACUGCAGAUAUUUACGUCAUGGAACAAAUCAAACAGAGACAGGGCUCCAAAAAUCCUGGAACGAGCGUAGCUUUUAUGAUGAGAUUACAAAUAUUGUCAAUGCUCAUCCCUAUGUUAUCCGCCAGGCGUCCCUCUCCUUUCAGUAAGGAAAAUGAUACCAGCGUCUCCAGGAUAGCACUUCUGAAGCCCUAUCUUGCUAGCAGAUUGUUCAAUCUCUUAGUUGCAGAUGAGCAAAUAGCAGUUGAGCCUAUUGUGAAAAAGAUGUUGAAUAAUGAGCCUUCCAGAACGCACUCUCCUUUGAAAAUUUCGGAUGAUGCUCGCCACUCGUAUCAAGCAAGCAGAUCAGCUUUCGACCGUGAAAACAUGGGUGUUGCCCUCCUUAUGAACGUCACUUUCAUGGAAUUACUUGUCUAUGCAAAUCCCAGUAGUCAUACAAUUUUAUUGAAGAAUUUUGAUGACUUUGUGAGGCGUUAAUGGUUUUGAGGUCAAAAACACCCAGACUUAGAGAGAGCCACUCAAUGAGAAAGCCUGUUUAAGAAAUUUUGGUAUGUGAUCUACUAUUUUGUUACUGUGUCUAAAAAUUACAUAGGUUAGAUGGUCUUUCUACAAUUUUUACCAUUUCUUUUUGUUGAAUUAUUUUUAUGGGUCAAAAAGUAACUGAAUAACUGAAAGAUCAAGUGAUUAUAUCAACAUAUUAAUCCUGCAAGUCAUUUUCUUACAUUUUGUUGAUGGUAGGAUGAGUGCAAUGCCGUCUCUUAUCGAAUUUUCCUUUUAUUUAUUCACUUUAAUAAAGAGUAUUUGAUGCGUAGGUUUUGUUAAUGAUAAAAAAAAUUAAAUUUAACAAAUUUUAGUUUUCAAUGGGGGGGGGGGGGGUGGAAUAGGGCAUAGAUACUCCCAUGAGGUCAAGAAAGACGUAAGUAUCAAACAUAUCUUAAUUUCCUCAUUUUGAUGUGCAGGAAAAGAAUUUUUCUGACGUCAACCCUAAGUAAGUGUUAAUGCCCCAAAUCUAAGAUGGCAGCCAAAAUAUCUAUGCUGACAUAAUUUUUCAAUAAUCGGCCCAUAAGAGACAAGGAGUCCAAAGUCUGCUGGUCCUUCACCUGCCUGUAUUUGUAUAAUGAAUAUGUACCUGAUCUAAGUUCUGAAGAGGUUGUUCUCACUAUGAACUGGAACUUUUGAAGGAGCUUUUUGUGUUGAAAUACAAUCAUUGCGAGAACUUACAAGUCUUUCAUUAUCUUUGUCCAUGUCUGACUAUGAACAGUAUCGCUGCUCCAAUGGUUUCAUGUUGGUGAUGCCUUUAAAUGUGUUGAUUACAAUCCAUUUUAUCUGGGUUGCAUACAUGGCCCCCGAUAAGUUCAAAUUUCAAGGAAAACUAAAUUUCAUUCUACAGGAUAAUGAUAUUUCAUUCCAUGAAACAUAUUGCAUUUCUGGUACCUAAAAUCCCACCAACCUAUUAUUCCGCUCUCAGAAAGCAGGCUAAAACGAUCAAAAUCAAAAAGUCCAUUUGUUCUGAGUGGAAACAUCGAAUAUGGAAUGACCUAGUUACUAAAUCAGUCAGUGACAUAAUAGUCACCCCUUUAGACCAGGGUUGCCGUUUUUAAUGAAAUAUAAAAUCUUGAAGUUUCGUGUGUAAUAUUUCAUGAUUUUCCGUUUAUGAAAAUACUAUUGGAAAUGAAAUGCAAAAAAUAAUAGUUUUCCCUUUUUGGUAUCUUGUAGUGCAGAAAUAUAUUAGGUUUCCCAAAAGUGCGUUUCACACCCUCUAAAAUUUUACCUACCUAACUCAUAUUUUGAAACGAAACUUUGAGGGUAUAUGUGGAUCAGUGUGAGAUACUUUUAGGGCCCUCAAAAUUUUCAGGGGCCUACCACAGGGGGGUUGCGGACCCCAACUGUGUUCCAAAUAGCAACCCCUCCCCUUUCAUGACACUUCAAGCGAAAGAAAAAUAAAAAGACAUUUUCCCGCAUAAACCGCAGAUCGCCUUUUUGAUUUUUUACAAAAUGACAGCUGCCGGUCGAAGUUCA
rnacentral:lncRNA from 1 species